ensembl:lncRNA
CACGACUCUGCCCUCGUACCCCUGCCGGUUCCUGUAUGGGUUUCCUACCUACCCCUUCAGCUGAGUUUCUUCCCGUUCCCUUCCUCCCUGACUGUUCCACCUGCCUGCAGUCUGAUUGCAGCAAUGAGAAUCAGCUGCCGUAAUUGGCUCACACCAGUCACCUGUUUGCAAUUCCACCUCCCAGCAUAUAAGCCAGCUCUGUCAUUCACUCCCUGCUCCACCGUGGACGCGCACAUCCUGCGUCGACUCGUGACCACCAGAGCUUCUUGGACACGACUCUGCCCUCGUACCCCUGCCGGUUCCUGUAUGGGUUUCCUACCUACCCCUUCAGCUGAGUGUCUUCCCGUUCCCUUCCUCCCUGACUGUUCC